CACCAGAUUUGUGAUUUAACAAAAUCACAAAUUAAUCAGUGAAUCAGCUGUGGCUUGGAGAGGAGAUAAGAUUACCAUCCUUGCCUCAAAUGAAGCCUGGAGUAUCCCUUGUAAUUCACUAACCUCAAAGUGAUGCUAUUCAGAAUCAUGUUAUAUUAGCCUGUCUGCACAUCUGCUGAGGAUGAAUAAUACUAAAAAUGAAGUAAAACGAGUGAGAGCCUGCUCUUCCAAGGAGUACAGCUGACAUCUGGAUAUGAAGGGGAGUCCAUAUGGUGUAAGUAGAGCCAGUUAUUAAUUGUUUGACUGAUCAAAAUGCAUGCUGUGGAACGUAAUUUUAGCAGCUUUCCCACAGUUUGUUUGUUUUCUUCAAUGUGAAGAAAAAGGAUGUGUUUGAAAUGCUUAUUUGAUAGCCUUUAGUAUGUUAUUCAUGACACUUACCUUCACUUCACUGUUUAUUUAGAGAAUUACACAUUGAAGCGUGUCCCAAGGUGAAGAUCACCAAUCUACUACAUCCUAUGGCUGGAUUUUCCUCCACAGUAUGUAUGAAGCUGUCUCGUCAUGUGCAAAUCUCGUCUUUGAACACUGCAUGUGCUGUCACAAAAUGAGAGAUCAGAAAACCUCAGCAACUGAGCAGUGCUUUUGGAAGACCCGGAUCUGCUUCCCUGAAAUUCAGUGGCAAAAAUCCAGCUCAUCAAUAUCCAGUCUUUGUGGAUGAUACUGGUUCACCAGUUGCAUGCAGGAACAUUCAUCAUAUAAUUAGAUGGGUCAAUAUCAACCAUGCAAUUGAUUGCAAAAUAUGAGUAAAUAACACCAACAAUUUCUUCAUUCUUUCUUAAGUUUAAUGACUUCAUAAAGUUGGAGCCAAUUAAUGUGCGUACCUGUGAGUAUCUUGGCCUGUUUACUGUUUCUAGAAUCUGUGCACUGAUCCUGAUAGAUGCUUUGUGUGGCAUUAAUGAUCAGUUCUGAUUAUUUGCAAAAUACUUCCUGUACAUGCACAUCAAAGCUUUUCAGGUGUGUGAGCCUAUAAGGAUUAGAGAACACUGAGAAUAUCCAGUCCCAAAAAACCCAAUGUACUUACUUUCAUAAUAAAAGGUGUAUAGUUUGUCUUCCA
rnacentral:lncRNA from 1 species